rnacentral:lncRNA from 1 species
CAUGGCCAUUCAGCACAUCAGAGUCAGGGUACGUGGACUCGGACCUGUUUUAUCAGUGGUUCAUACGAAUAAUUGUUCCGAAUUGCGGUCGGGCGCGUCCGGUUGUCUUGCUGAUGGACAACCAUGACUCGCACAUUUCAUUGCCCUUAGUGGAGAAAGCGAGAGAAGAGCAGGUGCUACUAGUUGGACUUCCUUUACACACCUCACACUACCUGCAGCCGCUAGAUGUGCACAUCAUUGGGCCAGUGAAAGAAAAGGUGACCAGUCCGGCGUCAAGUGUUGGGUUUUCUAAACCCCACACUUCUAUAGGAAAGGCGCGAUUACCAGUUCUGGUGUGUUAUGCCAUUGACCAAACCCCACCUUCACUGUAAAGAGGCGUUCCUGUUGGCUGGUAUAAUGCCAGUCAAUCCGGACGUUAUCCAGGAGAGCAAGCUGGUGCCACCAACUUUUGCAGCAGCUGAUGAGCCAAAGGGUGGUAAAAGCUCGCACGAAUCUAGUACCAGGACAUGUGAGACAUGUGGACAAGUUAUAGGCCAGAAUCCACUUGUAAAAAGGUGAAUGAUUCCACCAUCUCUGGUCGAAAUUCUGGUGCCGCCUCCUGUGAAACCACAGACAGAGAACAAGAAACGCAAAGUCGUAACUUCCGGUAGAGUUAUUUCAGGAGAUGAAAUGCUGAAAGUGUUGAAGGAAAGGGAGGAAGCAGAAGUAAGGCGCGAGGAGGAAAA